UUUUUUUUCUUUUUCUUACUCUGUCUCUAUGCUCAAUGCUGGACCGGAAGAUCCAGACUCGAGUAACUUUAGAAAGCGCAUGCGAAUCACCGCAUCCACCGGGGACUGGUCGUGGCCGAGUCCACCACACUAGGGCUUGACGCGCCCGCCUGCCAAAUGAGGCGAACCAUCUCGACUCAGGCCGUUAAUCCCGAGAAGCGUCUUGGCCUAUCAGUGAACUCCCCUCGCAACGACUACCAGCCCACAACGCACGCCAUCGCCACGCAACAUCGCAACAACGCACGCACACCACCGCUGGCACCCACCGCUAGAAAACAAAACCCGCGCGCCCCUUCUUCCCCACUGGCACCAGCCUUCUCCAUCCAGAGCCUUACUACCCACCCACAGUGCCACAGCGCGCCGAGCUG
rnacentral:lncRNA from 1 species